GCUAAUCGUGUAUUAAGUUAGUUAAAUCUGUUGGAUUAGUGACUAACCAGCUGAGCGACCCGCGUUAUUUCCAUUCAAAUACCCAGCAGCACAGCUCAGCUUGAGGAUUGUACGAUCACAGCGUAAGAUCGGAAACCCUAGUUCUCUUCUCUCUCUGGUUUUCUGUGGCUUUUCGCUUGGAGUUGUCAAUUUCUGGGUUCAAGGAUCACUUUGGUAAAACCUAAAUGGAGCAGAAGCAGCGCAACCCCGGUUGAGUGAUUUGCCUCGCUCCCGCUAUCUCGGAUCCCUUGCGUAUCGUUCAAGUAAUUGGAUUUCAACGGACAGAUUUGACACGAUGCGUCGUCCCUAUAUACAAUACCUUCCCGCUUUUAAUGGAAAUCGUAACCAAUUUGGGCCGCGUAGAAGAUUUCCAAACUAUCGAGUUGCAACGCUUAUGAAGUGGCUUUCGAAAUGGCUGGCCGACGAGCUAACUGAUGAAUGCCCUAUUCCCGUAUUUGACAUUUUCCGAUGUUCACCGAGAGUCCUACUUGAACAUUACUACCCCUUUGCCAACAUCGGAGAGAGAACUAAACCUGUGUUUGUUAUCUCCCAUGAGCUUUACGUGGACCAUCAUUUCGAUAUUCUACUGCGUGCUGUGCGAGGAAAAGCAAUCUUUCCAGCCCGUCCAGAAUUUUGGAUAGAUGAUGCACCUCCGAAAUUGAUCAAGAAAGACGGUGUCGACAUUUGUUAUAGACACAAUUUAAGCUUUAUCAUGUUAGGAUUGGGUAUGCAAGGCUAAGAAGCUCUCACAUUUCAAUGGACAAAUAUACACCGAUAAUGGGAAACGACCCUGGGGCAGACCCUUCAAGUUUAGCUGAAUUUCAAACAUUCCGGUUCAAGCAUGGUCGAUGGUCUAUUUUCAAGAUAUAUCGCGGUCGACGUUAUGUGGAAGAGGACUAAUGAGUUUGACAGCGUAGUCGAGGUUAUGUGGAAGAGCAAACAUGAGUUUGAUGGUCAGAUGGCAUUGUUUUGGAGGUAAGUUGUCGUUCAACAGCUCAACGGUUUCAGCAUUGUUUUGGAUGUAAGUUGUUGUUCAACAGCUCAACGGACAUAGUCACCGCUAUGGAGAAUGAGUUUAUACUUCAAAUUUGUCUCACGGGGAGUAUUUGCACUUGCAAAUGGAUAUUUCCAGUUAUCUCAUUGUUGCUUUUAUAUGGAACAUUUUGAGUCAUCUCAUCGUGGCUUAAUGGUUUUGAAAUGUAGGGUUGCAGUU